rnacentral:rRNA from 1 species
GGGUUGUGAGGUUAAGCGACUAAGCGUACACGGUGGAUGCCCUGGCAGUCAGAGGCGAUGAAGGACGUGCUAAUCUGCGAUAAGCGCCGGUAAGGUGAUAUGAACCGUUAUAACCGGCGAUUUCCGAAUGGGGAAACCCAGUGUGACUCGUCACACUAUCAUUAACUGAAUCCAUAGGUUAAUGAGGCGAACCGGGGGAACUGAAACAUCUAAGUACCCCGAGGAAAAGAAAUCAACCGAGAUUCCCCCAGUAGCGGCGAGCGAACGGGGAGGAGCCCAGAGCCUGAAUCAGCAUGUGUGUUAGUGGAAGCGUCUGGAAAGGCGCGCGAUACAGGGUGACAGCCCCGUACACAAAAGCGCAUGUGCUGUGAGCUCGAUGAGUAGGGCGGGACACGUGGUAUCCUGUCUGAAUAUGGGGGGACCAUCCUCCAAGGCUAAAUACUCCUGACUGACCGAUAGUGAACCAGUACCGUGAGGGAAAGGCGAAAAGAACCC